rnacentral:rRNA from 1 species
AACGAACGCUGGCGGCAGGCCUAACACAUGCAAGUCGAACGCCUCGCAAGAGGAGUGGCAGACGGGUGAGUAACACGUGGGAACAUACCCUUCGGUUCGGAAUAACUCAGGGAAACUUGUGCUAAUACCGGAUACGUCAGUGAUGAGAAAGAUUUAUCGCCGAAGGAUUGGCCCGCGUCUGAUUAGCUAGUUGGUGAGGUAAUGGCUCACCAAGGCGACGAUCAGUAGCUGGUCUGAGAGGAUGACCAGCCACAUUGGGACUG